rnacentral:lncRNA from 1 species
AGGCAAGCUUUCUGGCAGUGAGUGACUGGCUUGCCUGAGUGGGAGUUUCAAAUGGAUCGUUGUAUCUUACUGCUUUGAAUGUGUUUCAGUGCUGCUUAUGGGCUGUUGUUUAUUAUUAAGUAUGUCAUUUGUUUGAUCCUUUUUAUAUUUGUAUAUUUAUAUAUAUGUGUGUGUGGUGUGUGUGUGUGUGUAUUUAUUUAUUUAUUUAAAAUAUUUUUAUCCCACACUUCUCCUUUAAAAGGACUCAAGGAGACUAUUCUCUUUUAAUGAUGCAAGCCACCUUAGGUCCUUUUUGAGGAGAAAGGUGGGGUAAAAACUUUUGAAAUUACAGUACUUACUUAAUGAAUUAAAUCUGAGAUCUUUGCCAUGUAAAGCUUUACCGCUGAGCUAUGAUCAAUGUCUAUAGCCAAAUAGUAUCUUUGAGAAGUGUAAGUUUCCAUUCCUCUCCAGCAUUCAAUCAUCACAUCGAUUGUAUGUGAACCACAAUGGUCAAUGCUUUGUACUACAGCUGCCAUAGUCUUGUACCCUUCAUCCUGACAUCUGGGUCUGAUGAGAGUUAUAUUCCAAAUUGCUUGAGGAAUGGGACACCAGGUGUCUACCUCUUGUGAGUGAAUCUUCUCACAGAUGUUUUCCUCCAUUUUUAGGUAUCGUGGACACACAACACCCAACUUACAAGAAAAAAUGCAACUCCGAUGACCGCUUCUGCAACCAAUUUUAUGAGCUGGUGGCAGGAGAUUUCCGUAUGCUCUGGAACUCCAGCUGCUGUCGAGCUGAUCGCUGCAACACCCAGGAAGUCAUUGUACAAACAGCAUCUCAGAUUCCCAACGGGCUUUGUUGCAAUUCGUGCUUUGCCUGUGGCAUGAAUUUUUGUCUGAAUCACACUACAGUGGCGUGUACUGGCCUCCUGACCAACUGCAUCCACUUUGCCACCAUUGCAAGGAGAGGUAGGUGGGCUUAUAGGCAGGGCAUGAUCCGUGCCAUGGCUUUUGAGGCACGCUUCCCUUGACUCUUGUCGGUACA